rnacentral:rRNA from 1 species
UGAGGAAUAUUGGUCAAUGGGCGCAAGCCUGAACCAGCCAUCCCGCGUGAAGGAUGACGGCCCUAUGGGUUGUAAACUUCUUUUAUGUACCAAGAAUAUGCCUUACGAGUAGGGUAUUGACGGUAGUGCAUGAAUAAGCAUCGGCUAACUCCGUGCCAGCAGCCGCGGUAAUACGGAGGAUGCGAGCGUUAUCCGGAUUCAUUGGGUUUAAAGGGUGCGUAGGCGGUUUAUUAAGUCAGUGGUGAAAUCCUGCGGCUCAACCGUAGAACUGCCAUUGAUACUGAUAAACUUGAAUAUAGUUGAGGUAGGCGGAAUGAUUAGUGUAGCGGUGAAAUGCUUAGGUAUUACUCAGAACACCGAUUGCGAAGGCAGCUUGCUAAGCUAUUAUUGACUCUGAGGCACGAAAGCGUGGGGAUCAAACA